GUCUGAUAUAUUCACAAUGAGGUGUGAGUUGGCUGUAACGCCUGUUUCCAGUCUGAUCUAUUCAUAAUGAGGUGUGAGUUGGCUAUAAAGUCUGGGUUCCAGUCUGAUCUAUUCAUAAUGAGGUGUGAGUUGGCUAUAAAGUCUGGGUUCCAGUCUGAUCUAUUCAUAAUGAGGUGUGAGUUGGCUAUAAAGUCUGGGUUCCAGUCUGAUCUAUUCAUAAUGAGGUGUGAGUUGGCUGUAACGCCUGUUUCCAGUCUGAUAUAUUCACAAUGAGGUGUGAGUUGGCUAUAACGCCUGUGUUCCAGUCUGAUAUAUUCACAAUGAGGUGUGAGUUGGCUAUAACGCCUGUGUUCCAGUCUGA